rnacentral:misc_RNA from 1 species
UCCGGCUUAUCACCGGCAGUUUCCUUAGAGUACCCAACUAAAUGAUGGCAACUAAGGACGAGGGUUGCGCUCGUUGCGGGACUUAACCCAACAUCUCACGACACGAGCUGACGACAGCCAUGCACCACCUGUGCGGGCUCCCGAAGGAGGACCGGCUUUCACCGGCUUCACCCCGCAUGUCAAGCCCUGGUAAGGUUCUUCGCGUCGCGCCGAAUUAAGCCACAUGCUCCGCCGCUUGUGCGGGCCCCCGUCAAUUCCUUUGAGUUUCACCCUUGCGGGCGUACUCCCCAGGUGGAUCACUUAACGCUUUCGCUUGGCCACUACACCACAUGGGCAUAACAGCGAGUGAUCAUCGUUUACGGCGCGGACUAC